rnacentral:rRNA from 1 species
UACGGAGGGUGCAAGCGUUAAUCGGAAUUACUGGGCGUAAAGCGCGCGUAGGCGGCGUGAUCAGCCGGUUGUGAAAGCCCCGGGCUCAACCUGGGAACGGCAUCCGGAACUGUCACCCUAGAGUGCAGGAGAGGAAGGUAGAAUUCCCGGUGUAGCGGUGAAAUGCGUAGAGAUCGGGAGGAAUACCAGUGGCGAAGGCGGCUUUCUGGACUGACACUGACGCUGAGGUGCGAAAGCAUGGGUAGCAAACAGG